rnacentral:rRNA from 1 species
AACUUUAUUAGAAGAGACGCAUUUAUUAGAUAAAAAGCCAAUGCAUGCUUUUACAGUAUGGAAAUUGGUGAUUUAUAAUAACUUAGCAAAUCGCAAAGUGAAAACAGGCGAUAAAUCAUUCAAGUUUCUGACCUAUCAGCUUUCGACGGUAUGGUAUUGGCUUACCGUGGCAGUGACGGUUAACGGGGGAUUAGGGUUCGAUUCCGGAGAGGGAGCCUGAGAAACGGCUACCACAUCUAAGGAAGGCAGCAGGCGCGCAAAUUACCCAAUUCUAACAGUUUGAGAGAGGUAGUAACAAGAAAUAACAAUACAAGGCAAUUAAAAUGCUUUGUAAUUGGAAUGAUAGAAAUUUAAACCCUUUUUAAAGUAUCAAUUGGAGGGCAAGUCUGGUGCCAGCAGCCGCGGUAAUUCCAGCUCCAAUAGCGUAUAUUAAAAUUGUUGCAGUUAAAAAGCUCGUAGUUGAAGUUCUGCUAAAAGUAACCGGUCUGCUUUUAAUAAAAGUGGUAUCUUGGUGUGUAUUUAGCAAUGAUGUCCUUUGAAGUGUUUUUUACUUUAUUGUAAUAAAGCAUAUUCAGGACUUUUACUUUGAGAAAAUUAGAGUGUUUCUAGCAGGC